UACGGAGGGGGCUAGCGUUAUUCGGAAUCAUUGGGCGUAAAGAGCGUGUAGGCGGUCCGGUAAGUCCGCUGUAAAAGUCAAGGGCUCAACCCUUGAAAGCCGGUGGAUACUGCCGGGCUAGAGUCCGGAAGAGGCGAGUGGAACUCCUGGUGUAGCGGUGAAAUGCGCAGAUAUCAGGAAGAACACCUACGGCGAAGGCAGCUCGCUGGGACGGUACUGACGCUGAGACGCGAAAGCGUGGGGAGCGAACAGG
rnacentral:rRNA from 1 species